UGAAAUAAAUGAAAACGGGGGCGGCCCGUUUGGCAUAAGGUCAUUUGGCAUAAUACCGUUUGGCAUAACGCUGUUUGGCAUAAUGGUUAUUUGGCAUAACAGUUAUUUGGCAUAAUGGUCUUUUGGCAUAAUGGUCAUUUGGCAUAAUGCCAUUUGGCAUAAUAAUAAUGGGAUUUGCAAUAUUUUAAUCUAAUGAAAAUUUUCGUAUGUGUUUCGAUCGAUUGAUGUUGUGCAAGGAAAACUCGAACGAAAUAUGUGAAACCUUUUUUAUAUAAGCAACUCACUUAGUGCCAGCACAAUAUUCUGUUCGUCAUAGAUGAUUUAGGACGAGACGGCCGAAGGCCGCGAGUGCGCCGGCGACCCGCCGUCGGAAGUGCCGGCCACUGCGGGGGGCAGCGCCCCCGCAGAAAUCACCUCUGUCUACACACUAAGAUUUAAUUUCUUUAUUCGGUAAUAUUUUUGACGAAAACUUUCGGUAAUCUAUAGUAAUAACCGAUAUUUCGGUACAUGGGUUUUAUUUUACAACAAUUAUGCAAAUUUUCACCGAACGAUCAGUUUAACUUUAAUUUUCAUUACAGAAUUCUGAAUUAGAUAUACAAUUGAUACGGUAAACCUGAAUAGUCGCCGAAUACGGUAAAAAUCAUACUGUCCGUUUGGUAAAGUUAUCUUCCAAUAACCGAACUUCUGUGAAAACCGAUUAUCAUGAAACUAACUGUCAAACAGUUAUUAAAAUAUUCAGUGAGUGUCUUUUUAUUAACCAAACGAAAAAAAUGUUGAAGGGUUCAUCGAUUGGAUUGAGGCGGAAAAUAAUUUUGUAUCACUUGUCCACUUGCUGCCAACACAAAUCGUUCAAGGGUAAUUUUUGUUGGACUCGACGGAUUGUGAAGUGUUUUGGAAGGCGCUCAUAAUUCCGGUCAGUCGGAACAUCUGACACUUUUUAAAUUUCUCGUGGAAUAAAACCAUUUUCUUUAUUCGUUUUUGUUAA